CUACGGGUGGCUGCAGUGAGGAAUAUUGCACAAUGGAGGAAACUCUGAUGCAGCAACGCCGCGUGGAGGAUGACGCAUUUCGGUGUGUAAACUCCUUUUAUAUGUCAAGAAAAUGACGGUAGCAUAUGAAUAAGCACCGGCUAACUCCGUGCCAGCAGCCGCGGUAAUACGGAGGGUGCAAGCGUUACUCGGAAUCACUGGGCGUAAAGGACGCGUAGGCGGGAUAUCAAGUCAGGUGUGAAAUCCUACAGCUUAACUGGAGAACUGCACUUGAAACUGGUAACCUAGAGUAUGGGAGGGGGAGAUGGAAUUAGUGGUGUAGGGGUAAAAUCCGUAGAUAUCACUAGGAAUACCUAAAGCGAAGGCGAUCUCCUGGAACAUAACUGACGCUAAGGCGUGAAAGCGUGGGGAGCAAACAGGAUUAGAUACCCUAGUAGUC
rnacentral:rRNA from 1 species